UCAGGAUGAACGCUAGCUACAGGCUUAACACAUGCAAGUCGAGGGGCAGCAUGUGGUUGCUUGCAACCAAUGAUGGCGACCGGCGCACGGGUGAGUAACGCGCAUCCAACCUUCCCCUUAGUAGAGGAUAGCCCGGCGAAAGUCGGAUUAAUACUCUAUGUUCUUCAAUGCGGACAUCUAAGUUGAAGCAAAGAUUUAUCGCUAAGGGAUGGGGAUGCGUCUGAUUAGGUUGCAGGCGGGGUAACGGCCCACCUGGCCUACGAUCAGUAGGGGUUCUGAGAGGAAGGUCCCCCACACUGGUACUGAGACACGGACCAGACUCCUACGGGAGGCAGCAGUGAGGAAUAUUGGUCAAUGGGCGCGAGCCUGAACCAGCCAAGUAGCGUGCAAGGACGACUGCCCUAUGGGUUGUAAACUGCUUUUAUCAGGGAAUAAAGUGAGGCACGCGUGCCUUUUUGUAUGUACCUGAUGAAUAAGGACCGGCUAAUUCCGUGCCAGCAGCCGC
rnacentral:rRNA from 1 species